rnacentral:rRNA from 1 species
CAGUCGAGGGGCAUCGGGGUGUAGCAUACACUGCCGGCGACCGGCGCACGGGUGCGUAACGCGUAUACAAUUUGCCUUAUACUGGGAGAUAGCCCGGAGAAAUUCGGAUUAAUAUCCCAUAAUAAUUUUGGUCCGCCUGGACUGAUUUUUAAAGCUACGGCGGUAUAAGAUGAGUAUGCGUCUGAUUAGCUAGUUGGUGAGGUAACGGCUCACCAAGGCAACGAUCAGUAGGGGGCCUGAGAGGGUUAUCCCCCACACUGGAACUGAGACACGGUCCAGACUCCUACGGGAGGCAGCAGUGAGGAAUAUUGGUCAAUGGAGGCAACUCUGAACCAGCCAUGCCGCGUGAAGGAUGAAGGCCCUAAGGGUUGUAAACUUCUUUUAUUGGGGAAGAAACCUUUCUACGUGUAGAGAGCUGACGGUACCCAAGGAAUAAGGACCGGCUAACUCCGUGCCAGCAGCCGCGGUAAUACGGAGGGUCCGAGCGUUAUCCGGAAUCAUUGGGUUUAAAGGGUGCGCAGGCGGUAAAGUAAGUCAGUGGUGAAAUCCCUUCGCUCAACGAAGGAACUGCCAUUGAUACUGCUAUACUUGAAUAUAGUCGAAGUGGGCGGAAUGUGACAUGUAGCGGUGAAAUGCUUAGAUAUGUCACAGAACACCGAUAGCGAAGGCAGCUCACUAGACUAACAUUGACGCUCAUGCACGAAAGCGUGGGGAGCGAACAGGAUUAGAUACCCUGGUAGUCCACGCUGUAAACUAUGAUUACUCGUUCUCGGCGAUAUACGGUCGGGGACUAAGCGAAAGUGAUAAGUAAUCCACCUGGGGAGUACGGUCGCAAGAUUGAAACUCAAAGGAAUUGACGGGGGCCCGCACAAGCGGUGGAGCAUGUGGUUUAAUUCGAUGAUACGC